rnacentral:tRNA from 1 species
GCCUAGUUAGCUUAGUUGGUAGUGCGUCUGCCUUGUAAGCGCUAGGCCGCGGGUUCGAUUCCUGCCGGGGCG